rnacentral:snRNA from 1 species
GGAUGUGAGGGCCAUCUGGCUGCGACAUCUGUCACCCCAUUGAUCGCCAGGGUUGAUUUGGCUGAUCUGGCUGGCUAGGCGGGUGUCCCCUUCCUCCCUCACCACUCCAUGUGUGUCCCUCCCGAAGCUGCGCGCUCGGUGGAAGAGGACGUCCUCCCAGAUAGAAGGAGUACCGUUCUUUGGUCAAGGGUAUACGAUAGCUGCACUCACCAUAAUAAGUUGGUUCAGUACUCUGUCUCCAUCUCUUACACUUGGGUCUAACACAACAACCACAGU